rnacentral:rRNA from 1 species
ACGUAGGGGGCAAUCUUUUUCCUAAUUUACUUUUUUUAAAUUUUUCUCCUCCAUUCCUUUAAUUCAUUUUUUAAAUCCCGGGGCUUAACUCCGGAACUGCCAUAGAAACUGCAAGCCUAGAGUACGGAAGAGGUUGAUGGAAUAUCUGGUGGAGCAGUGAAAUGCGUAGUUAUCAGUUCGUGCCUUAUUGUAUUUGGCAGUGAAUUGUUUUUUUUUGGACGCUAAAGCACGAAAGUGUGGGGAGCGAACAG